GUCGCCGUAGCACAGUUGGUAGUGCAACGCACGCGCAAUGCGGAGAGUGUGGGUUCGGCUCCCACCGGCGGCA
rnacentral:tRNA from 1 species